AUGUAAAAUACAUGACCAGAUGGAUUCCCAGAAAAAAAAUGCAGUUUGAUAAAUGUUAGUUUCAGGGGAAAGAAGAUCAGAGAGUACUGUAUUUAAAUAUCCAAGUCAGUUGCAGGAGUUGAGUCAUUUUGGUUUGCUCUUCUUAACUCUGUUCUGUCUUUCCUUCCAGAUCUCAGAUGAUUGAGCCUUUGCUGAGGACAUCAGGAAGAGUCUCACAUUGAGCAAGUGGACUCCACUAUUACCACUGAAUGCAGACUGAAAGGUUAUUGGAGUUUGGUCUAAAAUGUUUUAAAUUUGACUUAAGUUAACAUAAACAAAUUCUGUGACUUUGAUGUGAUCAUUGUUUGUAAAGUUGAGCUUUUUGAAAAGAAUGUUAGAUUUUUUUUUUUCUCAAUUAAAUUGGGUUUUUUAUAUUUUGAUUACAUGUGUACUUUUUUUUUUUUUUAAUUACCAUAGAUUUAUUUUAAUAAAAUCCCUUGUUUAACACUUUCUAGAUGGAUAUGAGUUUUAUUUGCAGGGUGUCAUGUUGGAUGUUCAAAGCCUUGACAGCUAUGUUAUACCACUCUUUUUUUCUUUUGAAAAAUGGCCCACUGUUUAGUGACAUAAAAGCAAAACAUUAAUAUCGCUAUGCCACUUCAUUUGUAAUUUGCUAAUCCGGCAGCAUACGUUUUCUUUUCUGUCAAAUCUCUAUUUUCUGUCUGGUUAAAGUUGCUUUCCUAUGACUCUAACCCUCUUUCUUGUGUAUCUUUUGUGCACUAGGCGCAGUUGUGUAGCAGUUGAGUAAUGCUGGUUAGCUGUUAAGAUGCGGUGCAGUGCGGUGGUGACAUGGUGUGGCGUGUUGCGGUGCUGAGUGCCCGGCCCUGUUCCGGGGCUCGACCCUCCGCUGCUGUUUGCUGGUUUGUAAGCUCACAGGUGUGGCAGAUCAUCCAUCCUCUCCUGUCUUGUGACCUCUCCUUCCCUCCAUGUGCUGUACAGAUUAUUUACUCCUUUCUUUUUCUCUGUAUUCUCCCUCCUCUUCUUUGUCCCCCCUCUGUGGUUUUUCCACUUCUUGAACUGGUUUAGCUUGCUUUUUUGAAAUUGGGUCCAGUGUGACUCCUAGUGAAGGGUUUAAAGGGCAGUCUAGGCUGCCUAAUGAAUGCUUUUUGUGUAUUUCAUUCCUCUGUGAACCUCUCAAAUGUCUUGUAAUUGCUUUAGGUGAAUGCUAAUAAACAUCUUUGUUGUUCAA